rnacentral:rRNA from 1 species
AUUGAACGCUGGCGGCAGGCCUAACACAUGCAAGUCGAACGAGUGGCGGACGGGUGAGUAAUGUCUGGGAAACUGCCCGAUGGAGGGGGAUAAAUACUGGAAAUGGUAGUUAGUAACGCAUACCAUCGGAUGUGCCCAGAUGGGAUUAGCUAGUAGGUGGGGUAACGGCUCACCUAGGCGACGAUACCUAGCUGGCUUGAGAGGAUGACCGGCCACACUGGAACUGAGACACGGUCCAGAAUCCUACGGGAGGCAGCAGUAGGGAAUAUUGCACAAUGGGCGCAAGCCUGAUGCAGCCAUGCCGCGUGAAUGAAGAAGGUCUUCGGAUUGUAAAGUACUGUCAUCGAUGAGGCGGUAAUCACACAGAAAGCAACGGCUAACUCCGUGCCAGCAGCCGCGGUAAUAC